rnacentral:tRNA from 1 species
GCCUGAGUGGCUCAGUUGGUUGAGCGUCUGACUUCAGCUCAGGUCAUAAUUUCAUGGUCUGUGAGUUAGAACCCCGCAUCGGGCU